UCAGGUGAUCCUCCCAUCUCAGCCUCCCAAGUAGCUGGGACUACAGGUUGCUUCUUCCAGAUCCCUUUUGAUCUACUUUCAGCUAUGGAUUCAUGAGAAUCAAGACUAAGCAGCCUGAAUUGAAGGAGUAACAGUAUCACCUAACAAUGAUUUUGCUGCCAUAGUAGCUGUUUGUAUACUGGCCAUAUGCCUAGGUAAAAUGAGGCCAGAUCACUCUCAAGAGUUUUCUAUCAGAGUUGGUGGUGAACUACUGCUCACGGAUAAUGACGAGAAACCCCAGCUGAGGAGGCAAAUAUACUCAAGGAAAGUAAUAGUUUCCAAAUGCCUGGCAGUGCCAGGAAGGGGCCAUGUCCAUGGACCACUAUGUAAGGAUAUCUCAGUCUCUAGUCCAGCGUGGUUUAUGGUGCCAAAUAAGUGCCAGGUGAACUCACUACAUCUGACAAAAUCUCAAGGAACCAAGUUUACCAGAUAAUAUUUAUGAUUAUGUGAAAAAGACUGAGGAAAUCACUCAAGUGAUCCAUCAUACAGCACCUCCAGUUCCAAAGAAUACUGACUUACUUCAGGUGAUAACACUCUACCAUUUUUAAGUUUUUCAUCCACAUUGUGUCUGCGUUUCUGGAGCUGAUCCUUUUCUUUCUGGAGGACUUCAACUUGUUCUGAAAUCUUUGUUUUCUCCUCAGCUGUACUGGUCUGGAGCUGCACAUUCUUUUCAGACAACUCUUGUUCCAGUAAGUUCAGGUGACUCUUCUCCUGUAACAGAGCCUCCUUCUUAGAAACUAUGGCCUCCCGUUUCUUUAAGUCUGCUUCCAGCUCCUCUAAUUCUUGGCGUUGGU
rnacentral:lncRNA from 1 species